rnacentral:rRNA from 1 species
UACGUAGGGUGCAAGCGUUAAUCGGAAUUACUGGGCGUAAAGCGUGCGCAGGCGGUUUUGUAAGUCUGUCGUGAAAUCCCCGGGCUCAACCUGGGAAUUGCGAUGGAGACUGCAAGGCUAGAAUCUGGCAGAGGGGGGUAGAAUUCCGACGUGUAGCAGUGAAAUGCGUAGAGAUGUGGAGGAACACCGAUGGCGAAGGCAGCCCCCUGGGUCAAGAUUGACG